rnacentral:sRNA from 1 species
GGUACCAAUAUUAGAAAAGGAGGCUACAACUAAUUGAUCACAACCAGUUACAGAUUCCUUUGUCCUUUCUCCACUCUUUCUGCUUCACCUGACUAGCCUAAA